CCCUCCUUUCUGAGCAGUAUUUUCCUGCUCCCUUCUGCGGUCGGCUCCUCUUCGCUGCCCAUGUUAAUGUUUGUGUGAACGUGCAGGGAGCUCUCUGCUGCCCUGCAGGCUGGGGUUUGCCCUGCUGCCCGCUCUUACAGUUACACGCGCACACUCGCGCAUACACACGCACACACGGGUGCUGUGGCGGGCGUUGCUGCACAGGGCGGCCGUGCUGCAGGUCGCGCUCCUCCGGGCUGCGCACCUCCGGGCUCCGUCCACCCAUAGCGCGUCUGACAGCUCCUCUGAGCCUUCGCAGCCCGCUUUCUGACCGCUUUUCCACUCGGUGGCGUGGGAACGGGAUCCCGUUUUCAUUGCGUCACGCUGAUCCCUGACGAACGCUUUCCACAACCUCAGCCUCCGCCUUAGCUCUAAACUGCAGGCCAGGCUUCUGCGCCUCUCCUCCUCCUGGGCCAUCCCUUUCCUGUCUCACAGGGGCGGGCGGGGGCUGUUUGUUCCUUUGGUUGGCUGGGAUAUUUUUGGUAUAGGGAACUGCUGGCAGGCCUUCACGCUGUGUGACACAAUCAGCCCUUUUUUGUUUAUUUUGAGACAGGUUCUCCCCCAGACGCUAAAUUGCCCAGGCUGGGCUUGAACUUACAAUCCCCCCUGCCUCAGCCUCCCAGAGGGCUGGGGUCACAGGCGUGCAUCCCCACACCCGGCCACCUGUCCGCAGCUCACCUCGAGUCUCUGUCCCCAGGCUGGAGAGCUGCGGGCUCAUGAAGCUGGCCUGCCCGGGCGUGGCCGUCUCCCUGGGGAGCAGCCGGACGCUGACGCACCUGAGCCUGGCGGGCAAUGCCCUGAAGGAUGAAGGGGCGAGGCACAUCUGGGAGAGCCUGGCAAGCGCGGCGCUGCCCCUCCAGAGGCUGGUGUGAGUCCCCAGGUGCCUCCCCUUGAGGCUCGGCGUGCGGGGAGCAGUGCCGAGCACACCUGCUUCGUGUUCUAGUCUGUGGCACACGUGUGACCCACAGAGGCCUAUUGGAGCCAUGCUUGUGCCAGGGGACAGCAGUCAGGAAAAGGGUGUUAUUUCCACUGAAGAGGCAGGUUAGCGGGGCCCAGGCACCCAGGGCCCUGCAGAUGCGCAGGACGGCGACAUCUGCUCAUCACAAGAGCCGGGCGGGGGCUCAGGGUCAGUGUCCAGGUCACGCUGCCUUCCUCCUGGGGAGGUCUCACUUGGCUGUCACGGGAGGAAGUUCAGCACAGAAUUAAAUACGGAGCCAGGCAUGGUGGUGCACGCCUGUGACCCCAGCACUCUGGGAGGCUGCAGGCGCCUGGCGGGAAGGGGCAGGGAGACCUUGGAGCCUCCUGCCAGACGGAC
rnacentral:lncRNA from 1 species